UUGGUUCCGCAGCAAAUAUAGGAAAAUCAGAACAAUACAGAGAAGAUUAGCAUGGCCCCUUUGCAAGCAUGAUAUACAAUACAAAUUUAUAAAGCAUUAUAUUUUU
ensembl:snRNA U6 U6 spliceosomal RNA